UACAGAGGGGGCAAGCGUUGUUCGGAAUUACUGGGCGUAAAGGGCGCGUAGGCGGCCUGCUAAGUCGAACGUGAAAUCCCUGGGCUCAACCCGGGAACUGCGUCCGAUACUGGCAGGCUUGAAUCCGGGAGAGGGAUGCGGAAUUCCAGGUGUAGCGGUGAAAUGCGUAGAUAUCUGGAGGAACACCGGUGGCGAAGGCGGCAUCCUGGACCGGUAUUGACGCUGAGGCGCGAAAGCCAGGGGAGCAAACGGG
rnacentral:rRNA from 1 species